UGCGAAGGGGGCUAGCGUUGUUCGGAAUUACUGGGCGUAAAGCGCACGUAGGCGGACUAUUAAGUCAGGGGUGAAAUCCCGGGGCUCAACCCCGGAACUGCCUUUGAUACUGGUAGUCUCGAGUCCGGAAGAGGUGAGUGGAAUUCCGAGUGUAGAGGUGAAAUUCGUAGAUAUUCGGAGGAACACCAGUGGCGAAGGCGGCUCACUGGUCCGGUACUGACGCUGAGGUGCGAAAGCGUGGGGAGCAAACAGG
rnacentral:rRNA from 1 species